AUUGAACGCCGGCGGCAGGCUUAACACAUGCAAGUCGAGCGGGGGAAGGUAGCUUGCUACCGGACCUAGCGGCGGACGGGUGAGUAAUGCUUAGGAAUCUGCCUAUUAGUGGGGGACAACAUCUCGAAAGGGAUGCUAAUCCCGCAUACGUCCUACGGGAGAAAGCAGGGGAUCUUCGGACCUUGCGCUAAUAGAUGAGCCUAAGUCGGAUUAGCUAGUUGGUGGGGUAAAGGCCUACCAAGGCGACGAUCUGUAGCGGGUCUGAGAGGAUGAUCCGCCACACUGGGACUGAGACACGGCCCAGACUCCUACGGGAGGCAGCAGUGGGGAAUAUUGGACAAUGGGGGGAACCCUGAUCCAGCCAUGCCGCGUGUGUGAAGAAGGCCUUAUGGUUGUAGAGCACUUUAAGCGAGGAGGAGGCUACUCUAGUUAAUACCUAGGGAUAGUGGACGUUACUCGCAGAAUAAGCACCGGCUAACUCUGUGCCAGCAGCCGCCGUAACAC
rnacentral:rRNA from 1 species